GGCCUACUGGCCCAAUGGCAAGGCGUCUGACUACGAAUCAGGAGAUUGCAGGUUCGAUCCCUGCGUAGGUCA
rnacentral:tRNA from 2 species